CCCUUAGAUGUUCUGGGCCGCACGCGCGCUACACUGUUCGACGCAGCGAGUCUUAACCUUGACCGAAAGGUUUGGGUAAUCUUCAGCAAAGUCGAACGUGAUGGGGAUCGAUCAUUGCAAUUAUUGAUCGUGAACGAGGAAUUCCUAGUAAGUGCAAGUCAUCAGCUUGCGCUGAUUACGUCCCUGCCCUCUGUACACACCGCCCGUCGCUACUACCGAUUGAAUGGUUUAGUGAGAUCUCUGGAUUGACGCUGGCUAGGGGGCGACCCUUGGCCAGACUGUUGAGAAACUGCUCAAACUUGAUCAUUUAGAGGAAGUAAAAGUCGUAACA
rnacentral:rRNA from 1 species